ensembl:lncRNA
GGGGACCUGGUCAGCCUCCCCUCUCGGCUUCCUCCCCGCUUCACUCCCCAAGGACAGUAGAGGGGUCAAAGGAAGCCUUGGAAGAGCGUGACCAGAGCUAAGGGGUCCUUAUGGAUCCUUGCAGGUUCACCGGGGCAGCUAGGCUUCCAGGGAGCAGGGCAUGAACUAGAACUUGGGGGGAGGGACUGAGCGAGGCACCACAGUGGUACUGGGGUUGGCAUCUGAGCCUGGGGUUAACAAGCCCGCGGCUGGAGUGAGCGGCCCACAGGUGCAACCUUCUGUCUCAGGCACGUGGUCGAAUCCCGGGGCGGGGCGUGUCUCGAAAUGGGCGUGUCCCUGGAGGGGCGUGGCGGGGGAGGGGCCUGGCUGGUUUUGGAUUUUUUUCCCAACGAGUCCGUGUCACAGUCAAUUCCAGUUAUCAAAGCUGCCCUGUCUGCGAGAAUGUCUUCGCCAGCUUUGCGGAGGCUAGCCUAUCGUGGACUUAGCAUUUCAGGGGUGGAAAUUCCUUCACCUCUGAAUUGUCAAAUCAGUUCCAUCCCACCCACCCAGGCUCAUGUGCCCAAAGGCCCACAGCCCAACCACCAUCAGACUCCAGGAGACGCUGAGAACUCCUCAUAGAGGAGGUUUAAGAUAUUCCCAGGAUGCAGCUAGGAGUGCUGGACACUGGGGCACAGCAAGGACCGUCCAGAGAAAAGACGUUUGCAGGCUGAUCCCUAGAAGCAGGAAGCAGGCAGAGCCCGCUGCACCUGGGAGGGGGCGGAACACGCUGGACAGGGAGGGGGCAGGCGCAAGGGCGGGGGUCGGGGGUGAAGAGCGCGGCCUAGAGACUUUACUGGGUUUCCCAGAAACGGAAUGGGUGACCAUAAGGUAGGCAAGUGUAAGCAAGCUUAGGACUGGCUAGUUUGAAUACUGAGGGCAGGCGCUGGCCUAGGGGCUGUCCCUAGCUUUCCCUGGGUGAUGGGUGCAGAGGAGUCCUUUGAAAGGCGAGGCCCUAGGAGGAGUGCUUUCCUAGCUGUGGGAGGGGCGGUGUUUCCCAGUCAGGCCCCAGAUGCCAGAGCAUCAGGAACGCAGGAAAUUAGAAAACACCGCCCAUGCGUGUGGCCCUGCCCUCUUGGAGCCCUGGUGUGGAGGCAGGCUGAAGACGUCUUUUCAGACCUCUUUACCACUCACUGGGCCUGGCGCAGGAACAGAGAUAUGAAACCGCUACUCCCGCGAUUAAAUGUCUCUCAGCCUAACACCUAUGGGACCUGGGGAGAGAGAAGAGAAAGGCACCAACCUUGACCCUGUCAAAUAAAUAUCUCUAACUUUUCCUGUCCUCGGGCCUCCCAGCCAAACCUGUCUGUGGGUUUUUUUUCUUCCUUUAACCUGACUUUAAAUAACAAAGCUGUGGGGACCCGGAGAUGAAGAGCGGGAGGCUGUCUGUUCUGUUAACCGCGCGGACCCGCCAUCCUUGCAGCCCAUUCCCCUCUGGCCUGUGGCUCGGGCUGGCUCGGGUGGGCUCGGAGGACCAAGCCCCCCCAGCGGGGCUUCCUGCAGACAGUGGAUGGGGGACUGACGAGUGCCCUCCUCCGCCCACCUGCCAUCCCCUUUUCUAGAGAAUCUGACCCUGGCUUUGGCCCCGGCUUCCCCAGUGGCUCAGCGGCAAAGAACCUGCCUACAGGAGACGUGGGUUCGAUCCCUGGGUCGGGAAGAUCCCCUGGAGGCGGGCAGGCAACCGACUCCAGUGUUCUUGCCUGGAGAAGCCCAUGGACAGAGGAGCCUGGGGUUAGCAGUCCGUGGGGUCGCAAAGAGUUGGACACGACUGGAGUGACUUAGCACACAUACACCUUCUUCACGCACUGGCUUUGGCCCCGGGGGUCUGGGGGCGAGGCCGAGCUCACCAGGCCCAGGAGGCGGGGACCACAGUGCACAGUGCUCACCCUCUGGCCCCGGGACGGCGCCGAGCUCCCGCGGCUGGAGGCAGGUGUGGGGCGUCCUCACCUGCGCCUGCUCUUCUGACUCGUCUGGGGAACGUGCCCCCCACAGCCCUCCUGCCUGUCUCUGAGCUGUCAGGCAGCCUUCCCAGCCAGCACCCUCGGGAAAGUGGGGGCGUCCCUGUCCAGCCGACGGCAGCAGGGAGGCGGUGAGGCUGCCCUGCCGGGAGCCCGCCCAGUGUCCCAGGAACGAGCCUGGGGGAGCUACCAGGCAGCGACAUGCCUGUCGGUGGGAUUGCUCACGGGGACGCUGAGUGCCGGGCGGGCUGGGUGGGGCCUGCCCUCUGCCCCGGGAGCCGGGGGCCAUCCCAGGUGGCACCCCUGGUCCUCCACCUGCCCCAGGGAGGCCAGAUCUGGCUCCAAAGCACUGUUGCUCCCGGAGUGCCCCGGCCCCCAGCCCUGCAGGGCAGCACCCCGUGUGUCUCAGCNNNNNNNNNNNNNNNNNNNNNNNNNNNNNNNNNNNNNNGCCCUGCUCGCCACCCCUGAGAGCCUGGCCCUCCAGAGCUCAGUCGCGUCACUUAUUAGAGGUCCUCGCUGACCCUUGCAGCCACCCACCCCUCCUGCACCUCCCACCAGCUCAGCAGCCGGGACCCGAGUGCUUCCUCCUGAGUGUUUGGUGCCCGACAGGGACGCCGUCAGCCACCCACUCACAGUGGGUGCAGAGGCUGGGGUCAAGCCAGGCCUCCUGGGUCACCCAGCUGGACAGCAGAGUGGAAGCUGACCCCCCUGGGGUGCCCAGGACCACGGCACUGACCUGAACUCUCACCCCUCCCGCCAGGCGGGCCUGGCCUCCCUGGAUCCCCCGUGCGCCCUCACUGGGUCUCGUGGCGAGAAUGGCUCCCAGGCCGGCUCCCAGGUGAGAAAGGCCACGUGGGGAGCAGCUGUGCGCGGGGCCAGGGUGGCCUUGGUGAGGCCGUGGGUCUGUGAAGCCGUCCCCUGCGGGUGUUCAGGCCGGGCCAGGCCAGCCAGACCUUGCGGCGGACACACGGAGGCCUCGUACGUGGAUCCCCACGAUUCACCUUCUCAGCUAACCUCUCGAGUCACCCCCAUUUACAGAUGAGGAAACAGGUUCAGGAAGGCCCCCCACCUGCCUGAGGGUGAGCAGGGCCGAGGCUGGGGGGGCAGGCUCUGUGGCAGUGGGCUCUGGAGCCCUUCCCCAGCCCCAGGCUGGAUCAGCGUGUCCUCCGAUGUCUGAGGCCUUGGAAAGGGCCUGGAGGGACCCCCAGUCAGACGUGGAGGCCAGCCUGGACGGCCGGGCCUGGGGCUGCAGCCCACCCGACCCCCGCAUCAGACCACGCCCAGGUGUGCCUGCCCCCCAUCAGAGCCCACGGUGGUCCUGAGGGG